rnacentral:lncRNA from 1 species
UAAAGCCCUAAUGAAAUUUAUAUAAGUAAAAGUAUUUUUUUACUUAUUUUAUUUUGAAAGGAUUCAAGUCUCAAAAGCUCACACUUUGGAGGAUUUGAAUUUACAAAUUUUCUGAAGUUUAUUUGGACUUACUUGGAGUUAGGAAUCAAAAGUUAUUAAUAAAAACAGAAAAUGGAAAAAGAAACAAGAAAAAAAAAGGGAAUGGACCGACCCAACUGCGCCGGCCCAUAUCCACAGCCAGCGAGCACG